rnacentral:misc_RNA from 1 species
GUGAAUCAUCAAAUCUUUGAACGCAUAUUGCACUCUCUGGUAUUCCGGAGAGUAUGCCUGUUUGAGGGUAAUUAAAAAGAAUCUUUAACCAAUUUUUUUGGUCCAAAGAAAUUGAGUUCUCCGGGUUUUUACCGGUAGCUUGAAAUAAAUGGUAAAUUCUCAUUUUAGUCGAGCCGCGUAAUAAUAUAAUUUGGCAAA